ACCUGGUAGAUAAGAACGUCUUAUUGGCUGUGAUCAUCACAAACUUCGCUUAGCUAUAAACAGGGUGAAGAUUGCUAGAAAGAAAGACUUGAGAGUCCACCAUUUAAGCCAAAGGCUUUUGAUAAUCGUGGACAAAAUACAUAUACUUCUCCGCCUCUUUCCAAUUUCCGCGGCAGGUAUGACUCUCCUUAGUGACAUCCAUUGCUGCUGGUUUGGAGAAGAUUGAGUGAGAAUGAUCCACCAUUGAGUUUGAUAACUAGGAUUGU
rnacentral:lncRNA from 1 species